rnacentral:pre_miRNA from 1 species
UACGUACUCCCUCCGUUCCAAAUUAGUUGACUUAGAUUUGUCUAGAUACGGAUAUAUAUAGACAUGUUUUAGUGUUAGAUACGUCCGUAUCUAGAUAAAUCCAAGUCAACUAAUUUGGAAUGGAGGGAGUAGAAG